AUGGCGUCGUGCAUGGAAGGCACCAGCUCCGCUGGCGGUGUGGUGGGGAAGGGCAAGGGCAAAGGCAAAGGCAGCUCUGGAGAUUCGGCCGUGAAGCAGGUGCAGAUCGACGGCCUGGUAGUAUUAAAGAUAAUCAAACAUUAUCAAGAAGAAGGACAAGGAACUGAGGUUGUUCAGGGAGUGCUCCUGGGUCUGGUUGUAGAAGAUCGACUAGAGAUUACCAACUGCUUCCCAUUCCCCCAGCACACGGAGGAUGAUGCUGACUUUGAUGAGGUACAGUAUCAGAUGGAGAUGAUGCACAGCCUUCGCCAUGUCAACAUUGAUCACCUCCACGUAGGCUGGUAUCAGUCCACAUAUUACAGCUCCUUCGUUACCCUGGCGCUUUUGGAUUCUCAGUUCAGCUACCAGCACGCCAUUGAAGAGUCUGUGUCCUCAUUUAUGAUCCCAUAAAAACUGCCCAAGGCUCUCUCUCGCUGAAGGCAUACAGACUGACUACUAAACUGAUGGAAGUUUGUAAAGAGAAGGACUUUUCCCCUGAAGCAUUGAAAAAGGCAAGCAUCACCUUUGAGCACAUGUUUGAAGAAGUGCUGAUUGUCAUUAAAAACUCACAUCUGAUCAAUGUCCUUAUGUGGGAACUUGAGAAGAAGUCAGCUGAGGCGGAUAAGCACGAAUUGCUCAGUCUUGCUAGCAGCAAUCAUCUGGGGAAGAAUCUCCAGCUGCUGGUGGGCCGGGUGGAUGAAAUGAGCCAGGACAUAAUCAAAUACAACACAUACAUGCGGAACACCAGUAAACAGCAGCAGCAGAAACAUCAGUAUCAGCAGCUCGCCAACAGGACAAUAUGCAGCGACAGAGUCGAGGCAAGUCCCCGCUCCCUGAGGAGGACCUCUCUAAACUCUUCAAGCCCCACCAGGCCCCUGCCAGGAUGGAUUCACUGCUCAUUGCAGACCAGAUUAACACUUACUGCCAGAACACCAAGGAGUUCACUGCCCAUAACUUAGGCAAACUCUUCAUGGCCCAGGCUCGUCAAGAAUACAAUAACUAA